UUCCUACGGGACGCAGCAGUGAGGAAUAUUGGUCAAUGGGCGAGAGCCUGAACCAGCCAAGUCGCGUGAGGGAUGACUGCCCUAUGGUUUGUAAACCUCUUUUGUAUGGGGGGAAUAAGCUUUACGAGUAGAGUGAUGACAGUACCCUACGAAUCAGCGUCGGCUACCUCCGUGCCAGCAGCCGCGGUAAUACGGAGGAUGCGAGCGUUAUCCGGAUUUAUUGGGUUUAAAGGGUGCGUAGGCGGCAUUAUAAGUUAGUGGUAAAAUCUUG
rnacentral:rRNA from 1 species